UGACGUCAAAUCAGCAGGCCCUAUGUCCAGGGCUACACACGUGUUACAAUGGCCGGUACAGAGGGCAGCUACCUGGAGACAGGAUGCGAAUCUCCAAAGCCGGUCUCAGUUCGGAUCGGAGUCUGCAACUCGACUCCGUGAAGCUGGAUUCGCUAGUAAUCGCGCAUCAGCCAUGGCGCGGUGAAUACGUUCCCGGGCCUU
rnacentral:rRNA from 1 species